UCCCUAGUAGCUCAGACAGUAAAGCAUCUGCUUGCACUGUAGGAGAUCUGGGUUCGAUUCCUGGGUUGGGAA
rnacentral:tRNA from 1 species